rnacentral:lncRNA from 1 species
UUGAGAAUAUCUUCAGCAAAGGAAGUGCUCAAGGGAGAAGAACAGUCAUCAUUGACUUUGCUAUUUCUUGACCAACUGAAUCAAUAUCACUCUUUUCAGAGCUUGCAUUUGAAGUGCCUGUUUCAUCUUCCAGAACUGAAUCAGUUACCAAAACCUCAGAAAUGGCUACAUCCAUGGCAAUUGUGUCAUCUUUAGCACUGCAAGGAACUUUCAUGAGUUCGUUUGGAUCAGAGUUAGAAAAACUGUCUGCAAAAAUGCAA